GGUACUAAUGGUGUAAGCCUAAACACGCUAUUUUUGUAAAAUAGAAAUCUUUAAGAAGUUGCACCU
rnacentral:tRNA from 1 species